rnacentral:rRNA from 1 species
UACGUAGGGGGCAAGCGUUGUCCGGAUUUAUUGGGCGUAAAGCGCGCGCAGGCGGCCUCGCGCGCCCGACGUGAAAGCUCCCGGCUUAACCGGGGAGGGUCGUUGGGGACGGCGGGGCUUGAGGGCGGGAGAGGUCGGUGGAAUUCCCGGUGUAGUGGUGAAAUGCGUAGAGAUCGGGAGGAACACCUGUGGCGAAGGCGGCCGACUGGGCCGACCCUGACGCUGAGGCGCGAAGGCGUGGGGAGCGAACGGG